AUCACUUAGUGGCGCAUGCGCACUUCGCAGAGUGCUCUUAUCAAGACGAGCGCCAGCCGACACAACAGGUUGUAUUCGGACGUAAGGUAUUGAACUUAUUUUUGCAAGUUGGUGGAGUGCUUAAAGCCUGCUUCACCUCCGCCGUGGGUCGGCCCGGUACUGUACUAUCUUCGGGAUCGGCCUACGUAUG